AGAGUUUGAUCCUGGCUCAGAUUGAACGCUGGCGGCAGGCCUAACACAUGCAAGUCGAGCGGUAACAGAAAGUAGCUUGCUACUUUGCUGACGAGCGGCGGACGGGUGAGUAAUGCUUGGGAACAUACCUUGGGGUGGGGGACAACAGUUGGAAACGACUGCUAAUACCGCAUAAUGUCUACGGACCAAAGGGGGCUUCGGCUCUCGCCUUUAGAUUGGCCCAAGUGGGAUUAGCUAGUUGGUGAGGUAAUGGCUCACCAAGGCAACGAUCCCUAGCUGGUUUGAGAGGAUGAUCAGCCACACUGGAACUGAGACACGGUCCAGACUCCUACGGGAGGCAGCAGUGGGGAAUAUUGCACAAUGGGCGAAAGCCUGAUGCAGCCAUGCCGCGUGUGUGAAGAAGGCCUUCGGGUUGUAAAGCACUUUCAGUCAGGAGGAAAGGGUGUGAGUUAAUACCUCAUAUCUGUGACGUUACUGACAGAAGAAGCACCGGCUAACUCCGUGCCAGCAGCCGCGGUAAUACGGAGGGUGCGAGCGUUAAUCGGAAUUACUGGGCGUAAAGCGUACGCAGGCGGUUUGUCAAGCGAGAUGUGAAAGCCCCGGGCUCAACCUGGGAACUGCAUUUCGAACUGGCAAACUAGAGUGUGAUAGAGGGUGGUAGAA
rnacentral:rRNA from 1 species